GUUCGAUUACAAAAAUAUAUUCUCCGAUCACUUAUAAUGGCUCUAGGGAUUUCAAAAUGAGAGAGAAUAAUUUUUUUCAAAAUUUGAUAAUAAUUUUACUAUCAUUCGAUCUACACAGUAUAGCUUCUAUCCAUUUGGACACAUAAUCGAUAGCCACUAAGAUAUAUUCAUUUUUGAAAGAGUUUGAAAGUGGUCCCAUGAAAUCAAUUCUCCAUACAUCAAAAAUCUCAACAAC
rnacentral:lncRNA from 1 species